GUGUCAGCAGCCGCGGUAAAACGUAGGAGACAAACGUUAUCCGGAGUUACUGGGCGUAAAGGGCGUGCAGGCGGCAGUCUAAGUCUGGCGUGAAAUAUCCCGGCUCAACCGGGGAAGGUCGUCGGAUACUGGGCAGCUAGAGGGCGGUAGAGGCGUGUGGAAUUCCGGGUGUAGUGGUGAAAUGCGUAGAGAUCCGGAGGAACACCAGUGGCGAAGGCGACACGCUGGGCCGUACCUGACGCUAAGACGCGACAGCAUGGGGAGCAAACAGGAUUAGAAACCCCAGUAGUCC
rnacentral:rRNA from 1 species